rnacentral:rRNA from 1 species
CCUACGGGAGGCAGCAGUGAGGAAUAUUGGACAAUGGCCGGAAGGCUGAUCCAGCCAUGCCGCGUGCGGGAAGACGGCCCUAUGGGUUGUAAACCGCUUUUGUUGGGGAGCAAUAAGGGUCACGUGUGAUCCGAUGAGAGUACCCAGCGAAUAAGCAUCGGCUAACUCCGUGCCAGCAGCCGCGGUAAU